AUUAGGCAUGCAAGUCGAGCGACGAGUCCGCUUUCGGGCGGGCGACGGAGCGGCGAAAGGGAGAGUAACGCGUAGAUACCUACCCUCGGAUCUGGGAUAGCGGCGGGAAACUGCCGGUAAUACCGGAUAACGUCCCCGGACCAAAGGCUUCGGUUGUCCGAGGAGGGGUCUGCGUCCUAUUAGCUAGUUGGCGGGGUAAAAGCCCACCAAGGCAAAGAUGGGUAGCGGGUGUGAGAGCAUGACCCGCCUCACUGGGACUGAGACACUGCCCAGACACCUACGGGUGGCUGCAGUCGAGAAUCUUCCGCAAUGGGCGAAAGCCUGACGGAGCGACGCCGCGUGCGGGAUGAAGGCCCUCGGGUUGUAAACCGCUGUCGGAGGGGAGGAAAUCACUUCGGUGUUGACCGAUCCUCGGAGGAAGCGCAGGCUAAGUUCGUGCCAGCAGCCGCGGUAACACGAACUGCGCGAACGUUAUUCGGAAUUACUGGGCUUAAAGAGUUCGUAGGCGGCCCUGCAAGUCGGGUGUGAAAUCCCUCGGCCCAACCGAGGAAUUGUGCCCGAUACUGUUGGGCUUGAGGAAGUUAGAGGUGAGCGGAACUGAUGGUGGAGCGGUGAAAUGCGUUGAUGUCGUCAGGAACACCGGUGGCGAAAGCGGCUCACUGGGACUUUUCUGACGCUGAGGAACGAAAGCUAGGGGAGCGAACGGGAUUAGAUACCCCGGGUAGUCCUAGCCGUAACGAUGAGCACUAGGUCGAGGAGA
rnacentral:rRNA from 1 species